CUCCUGACCUCAAGUGAUCCACCUGCCUCGGCCUCCCAAAGUGCUGGGAUUACAGGUGUGAGCCAUGGCACACAGCCAUUUUUGAGUAAUUCUCAUUAGUGCUUUUAAUGUAUGCUUAUACAUACACAAAUAUAUAUUUAUUUAAUAUAAAAUUGGGCUCAUUGAAGAUGCUAGCUGGAGUACAAUACUGAAAAUAAUCUGCUCUUUCCUCUGUUUCAUCUCCUGGCAUGAAGCCAUCUACUCUUCCCAAGAGACUAUCAGUGGGCCUUGGGGACCUUAUAUAUGAGGGUCUCAGGGCCCUGUUAUUAGCUGAGGGUUGGUAGGGAAGAACGGUGUGAGUGAUUCUGCAUGUCCAGGGGCUUCUGCAGAUGUAGUCAUGAAGCAGAUAGACCUAAACCAAAAUGGGCAAGCACUCCCUAGAAUUUUCACUCAGCGCUUGUGGUAAUCCAUGUGUGCAUCCCAGGGAACUGAGAUGGGAAUGGAGUUGGCAACCUCAGGUCCCUGAAUGUGUCCACUGUAUUUCUCUUCCUGCUAAUCCCUUUGUCCUCAGUGUGCAGAGAUAAUCAGGAGUUGAGCGCUAGUCAUUAUAUUUAGGAACUUCGUUCUCAAAGGUAGUGAUUACUGUCCUAUUUUCCGUCCCUCUGCUUGAAACAAUUUCUGAGAAUUGCCAUACCAAUUUGGAUGUGAAAACAUGUUGCCAUCUUCAUUCCUUUUUGCCCUGCAGGGCAUUCUGCGGUCUGGGGAAAUAAGCAGGGAUUCUUAGUUGAAUACGGUUCUCUAGUCUGAAUAGUCUCUUUCUCUGCCUCCUUUCAUUUUGGACUCUCCUUUUUGCCAUACUCUAGAGAGAAUGUGGAGGAUGGGGCCAGGCAGAGAGCCUAGAGGUUAACCUGACAUUUAGCCAGAUCCACGUUGCUGCCACAUCGCAUCUUUCAAAGGCUGAUCCCCUACUCAGAUGCCUGCCACAUGACCUGCUCCUCAGACAUAUCUGUCCCUACCAAGGAGUUGAGGUUGUGGGCAAAGCUGGACAGUUUCUGUCCCUUCUGUAGCACUUGGUAGGGGAGGUCUAAUGGGGCUUAGGAUACUCUGCCCUUUGCUUUAUUGAGAGAAAUGGGGUUGAUAUAUAGCUUAGUAAGUCUAUAAUUAUGCUUUUUGUUUUGUUUGCUUGUUUUUAGUAAGUUAUGUUUUUCCUAAUUCUAAAGGAAAUACAGUUAUGUAUCACUUAAUGAUAGAGAUACAUUCUGAGAAACACAUCUUAAGGCAUCACAGAGACUGUCAUAAGAUGCACUUUCACAAACCUAGACGGGCUGGGACAGCCUACUCCACACCUAGUCUAUGUGGUAUGGCCCAUUGCUCCUGGGCUGCGAGCCUAUACGGCAUUUUUACUGAAUACUGUAGAGCUCAAGUAAUCCUCCUACCUCAGCCUCCAUGUAGCUGGGAUUAUAGGUGCGUAACACUGUACCAGACUCUGGUGCUAGUUCUUAGAUGCCAGUGUACAUGAGAAGCUUGUUUAAAAUUUAGAUCUCUUAGUGAUCUAAGAAAUCGGAGUCCUAGCUAGAGAGAUUCCGAUUCGAUAGCUCUAAAGUAGAGCCCAAUAAUCUUCAUUAACAAGCAUCCAAAAGUUUAUCUGAUAGGGAAUUUCAAGAAGUAAACAGAAGCACAUGAUAAGAGAAUAUACCCCAACUAAAGUGAGAAAUGAAAUUUUAAAAAAGUAUUUUAAUUAUAACAAACACCUAGUCACUAAUCCAAAGAGCUUAAUUAUUUUCCUAUUAUUAAGGAAAAUAAUUCUUAUUAACCUGCACUUAACACAGUCCCUAUUGCACUCGACUGAAUAGUUGUCAUGAAGUUUGUAUUUUUUCUUUUACUUUUUCCUUCUUUCUUUACCCUCAGAUGCUUUGUAGAAUCCUGGUGUUACCUCUGUCACUUUUCUUUCUGCUAUUGGUGUGAACACUCGGCAUCCCUGCGUCUGCUGAUCUCUGGGCUUCUUGCUUUUCUCAGGGAUGUGCAGCCUCUGUAGUCCUCUCUUCUCACAGCAAGUCUGACAUGGUAGGACAGUCGCUCACACCAAUGUCAGACACUCAAAGUCUAGUCUGGGCUGCUGACCCUCUCCUAGUCAGAUAACCCACUGUGGAUGCCAGUUUCUUCAUCUAUGCCAUGAAGAGUUGGUUUAAAUUAUAUAUGUAAGUGUUUUUGAAGUUCAUUUAAAGUAGAAGCACAGAGUCAUUUUUGUCUGUUCCCAGCUGUUCCUAAUUUAUUCACCCAGGCUGCAUAAUAUAACCGUAUUCCUUAAAUGUUAUAGGACCUUAUUUCUUGUGAACAUCUUGAAAGUGUUUAACUGAGGAAAACGUAGAUAAAGUCAGAUUACAUAGGAUUGUGUGUGUGUGUGUGUGUGUGUGUGUGUGUGUGUGUGUGUGUUUGUGUAUCCAUGUGCUCUCCAAGAGAAUGGAGUUAAUGCCGUUAGACCUCCCAAACAGCUGCCAGGAAGGGACAGGAAUGAUGGGGUUAGGGAGCUAUCUGGCCCUUGGCUCUUCCUGCCUCUGAGACGUAGGUGACUCUUUCAUGUGGAGGCUAGCAAAGGAAGAACCCUGUCCGAUGGGCUGUGUGUCACAGAAACUUGGAAUGUUCUGUGACAGCCUAUAAUUUCUCCCCUUUCCUGUUCCUUCUCUACCCUCCCUUAGGCUUCUUCCCCUUUUAUUUUUGACUCUGGUUCUUGGUACACAUUGAAACAAUGUAUGGCUUAGGAAUUUUUCAGUGAUUUUGUAUUUGUAUUUUAUUUAUAAAUAUAGUUACUCCAAAAAAGUUUUCUAAAAUGUGAGCCUCUUCUGUUGCCUGGAGCUACUAACAAGAGGACUUCAUUCUUUCGCACACACUGAGCAUGGCUGCGUUCAGUCAAGUAGCUUCCUGGUGGUGGGCCUUACUUCCUUGGAAAGGAGGCUAAAGAUAUAUGUCUGCUUUUAGAAGCAAAGUGUGAUCAAGAAAUAACUGAGCUUGCCUCACUCAUGGAGAGAGCUGCUAUGUUGUUCUCAGGAGCUUUUUUUUUUUUUUUUUUUUUUUUUUUUUUUCUUAGUGGGGGAAACAACAGCCUGGGAAGGAUGUCAGCCUUCAAAGGAAUGUGUUUUAGAAGGUGAAACUGUUUUAAGCUCCAUCAAGAACCUUUUGUGAGCCCUUCUGGUAAUGAGUAAUCAUUUCAGCAAAAUGAGACUAUUUAGAAUAUUCUAGUCUAAGGAUCUUUUCUCGUCUAAAUGGGAAUAGGUCAAAGGAAGCAUGGGAAACAAAAAUGAAAUUAUUUUACUGUCCCUUUGGGCCUUGCUCUUAUAGACCUCAUCUAUGGUGCAGUAAGAAAAAGGGCCUGCAGUGAAGGUGGAAGAUAUGUUUGGGAUCCUUCAUGACUGUUAUGAAAUCAGCAACCAGCGUGACUGGGCCUAAGUCACUUUCCCUGGCUACACCUGUGUUUUCAUUCCUCCAGGGCUAAACCCACUGAUUCUAACUUCUAGUAGUUGAAAUAUUCACAGAAGUGUAAGAGCUUGUGGAUUAAAUUAGCCUGAAGAAGAAAAAUUAUCACCCAGUUUGCCCUCCUCUGAGAUUAGCACAUUGCUUCUUUGGGGGUUGGAGGUUGGAAGUGAUGGUCACAAACCAGGUGAUCAUGUCUGGGCAGCAGGGAAGUAUUUCUUCAACUAGGGGCUUAAUGCAAUUAGCAUCAACAGUUGGAUUUCAGUAAUCUAAGAUAGUGUGAUUAAUCCGUAGCAUCCAAAGUUUGUCUGGUAUAGAGUCUAAAGCUGUGAUAACAGAGCACAGGCUAAAUUGGAGUAAGAAAUUAGCAGAAUAAUGUUUUAGUACUGGCUCCUUUUCUUGUCUCGUUAGAUCUGAAUGCAGUUCUUCAUUAAAAAAAAAAAAUUAAGUGUGUCCAUAGUCCCUACAUUUCUGGUUCUCUUCCUGCUGGUAGUAAAUUACUGUUUUCUUCUGAUUUAACUUCAGCUUGAAAAUCAUUUGUAAAGGCAAUAAACAUUUGAGACAUUGGUCAUUUUAACCAUCAGCUGCUUUUCGUCAAGUCCCCCAAAUAUGCUAAUGUUUUUAGCAGAAAUCAGAGCACUGAAAAUAGACUUGGUUCUUGGUAUUUUUAUUUUAAAUAGUAGAGUUAAAUCUGUUUAUAUUACAUUUUUGUGUUAUUAAUGUAGUUGGCCUUAUGUCUACCAUCUUUGGCAGGGGCAGGAUGGAAUGUAUAUAGGGUUUUCUAGCAAAGACUGAAUUGUUCAGUAUAUUUACCUUUUUUAAACAAGCAAAGAUCUUACCUUUUUUUUUUCACCACCUAUCAGGCACAUUCCACUCUCUAACCCCACAUUUCCCCAUUAUUAUUAUCUAUUGUUUUCGUUGGUUUCACUUAAAAACACAAAAAUUCAUUAUUUUAAAUAUUUUCAUGUUCAUUACCUAAUACAUAUCAUUGUCAGGCUUUUUUUUUUUUUUUUCUUGCAUCUCACUUCCUGUAGUAUUCCUGUCACUGACAGUCUGUGAAUGGGAAACUCUCUCAUUCUGUACAUCUGGAAAUGGCUUCAUUUUUUUCCCAGUCUUUAGUGAUGGCUAAGCUAAGUAUAGAAUUCUAUACCCUUUUUCACGUUGAAGAUCCAUCACUUAUUGCCUGCUGACAUCUAUUUUUGUUGAUAAAACAGCUGUUGUAAGACUAUUUGCUAUUCCUUUGAAGAUAAACUGUCUCCUUUUUUUUUUCUUGGUAGCCAGUAAGAUUUUUAUCUUCAUACUUGAUAUACUAUAGAUUUAGAGUGAUGUCUUAAGUGUGGAGUCUUAAAAACUUAAUCUAUGUAGUGCUCUUGAGAAUACAUAUAAGAACUCCUGUCUUCAAGUAGUUCUAUAAAAUGAUCAGCUAUUACAUAUUAAAUUUCCAUUAUCUCCACCCCCAUUUCCUUCUCUGUCCCUGUAUUAGAUAUAUAUUGGUGAUGUAGUUUGAAUAUUUGUUCCCAUCCAAAUCUUAGGUUGAAUUUUAAUCCAUGAUGUUGGAGGUGGGGCCUGGUAGGAAGUUGUUUGGAUCAUAGGGCUGCAUCUCUUGUGAAUGGCAUGGGCCAUCCCCUUGGUGAUAAGUGAGCUCUCCCCUGAGUUCACACAGAUCUGCUAGUUUAAAAGUGUGUUGUGGCACCUCCCGCCCCUCUCAGUUGCUUGCUGCUGCUUUCUCCAUGUGAUGGGACUGUUUUCCCUUUGCCUUCUGCUUUGAUUGUAAGCUUCCUGAAGACUCCCUAGAAGCCAAGCAGAUGCCUGCACCAUGCUUCCUAUAAAUCCUGCAGGACCAUGAGCCAGUUAAGCCUCUCUUCUUUAUAGAUUACCCAGUCUCAGAUAUUUCUCUAUAGCAAUGUAAGAACAGCCUAAUACUUUUGGAGUCAUUCUUGCAUUCUCUUUGUCUCUUAACUGUUUUUUCAUACGUAUAUAUAUGAUUUGUAAAUACACACUCAUACUUAUUUUUAUCUCAUAGCUGUAUCAGGAUAAAUUCCUCAGUACUAGAUCUUUCAGUUCACUCAUUCUGGUGUCUAUCUCCACUACUGGGUUUUAUUUCAGUGGCUAUAUUUUUUCAUUUCCAAGGUAUCACAUUUUUAAAAUCUUUAUGAAGAUAUUAAACAUAGCCUAUAAAUCUUAGUUGGUUCUGUUAUUUUAAUUUUUCUGAAAGUGCUUAUUCUUCUACUUGUUAAUUUUGUGGCCAACUUAGAUGUCUUCACGUGUUUUGGAAUUUUGAUUUGCAAGCUUACCUUCUUUAACAUUUGUUUUCUCCUCCUUACUCCUCCCCAGAACUUGCCCCACCCCCAUGGUAGUUUUGCAGCUGCUUCUGCAUCUAUGUCUGUGUUUUUCUAUUUCUCUAGAUGAGAAGCCCCAUUUAAGUCAUAACUUGCAGCAUGUGUCAGCAACAAUUUUCUUUGGUUUCCUUUUUCAUUCAGUCUAAGUCCAGACCCUCUGUUAAAAAAUUAAAAUAACAGAACAAACUAAAAGAUUUACAAGCUGUAUUUAAUGUCCUCAUUGUAUUAGUCCAUACCUGAGACUGCGUAAUUUAUAAAGAAAAGAGGUUUCAUUGACUCGCAGUUUCCACAUGGCUGGGGAGGGAGGCCUCAGGAAAUUUAUAAUCAUGGUGGAAGGGGAAGCAAGGCAUGUCUUACAUGGCAGCAGUUGAGAGAGGGCGUGUGAAGGAGUAACUGUUAAACACUUAGAAAACCAUCAGGUCUUGUGAGAGUGCACCCGCUAUCAUGAGAAUUUGUGAGGAAAAUGGCUCCCAGGAUCCAAUUACCUCCUACCAGGACACUCCCUCAAGUCAUGGGGAUUAUGGGGAUUGUAGUUCGAGCUGAGAUUUGGGUGGGACACAGAGCCACACCAUAUCACUCAUAAUGAUUGUUUUAAUUUGAUACCUUGAAAAUAAAAAAACCUUAACUUGAGGCCCAUUAAGCAGUUCCAUGGCUUUAGCUCUGCCUCCACACUGUGUGCUUUGGUUCAUGGAAGUGCUUAGCUUGUUUGCUGAGUAUAGCUAUAAUUUGGAAUUCUCUCAUUUUAUAUUUUACCUGUCAUUGCCUUAUCUUUGAAGAAGGCAAAGGCUUUUAGUAUAAUCUCUGGCUCUGUGAUUUAACUUUGGUUUUCAAUACAUAGCUGUAGAAGGAAAAUAACAACUGCCCUUCCCAUCUGUGAAAGCACUUUGUAAAUAAAAAAGGCAAGGUGUGGCCAUUUGUAUAGUUAAUGUAAUUGUUGUCACAUUUUACUGCUACACUCUACCUUUGGAGUCAAGGAUGUUCAGGAUGGGCAUGUGGCAUGCUGGGGGAAUGAAAUACCUUAGGUAAUAAUAAAAUUGAACAUCCCUAAAGUUGUCUGCUAAAUAUUGUCAGUGAUUUAGUCCACAAAUUGCAGAGUGUUUUCUACAGGUAAAUGGAUCGUGACUGUAUAUUUACUUUUAGAGUUGCAUGCAAUGAAAAUGAAAUUGUUUUUCAUGACGGUAAAGCUGGCUCACUGUUCACUGGAUUAUUCAGUUUUUCUUACUUCUGCUGUUGCUUUUUAAACUGAGUGAUGGUAUCCAAAAUGUAACUUGCCAUUUGCUGCUUAGGUACUUUAUAAAAUCUGUCUAAACUUAAGAUGGAUUUGCUCUGGUUAUAAAAGAGUUUAUUAAACUUUGUCUUUCAGGUGAUUAUCGCCAUCAUUGCUUAAUGUUGAAGGCCUAGCGAGUCAUACUGUGAAGGUGAUACUUUUUAUUAGUGUUAUAAACCAUUUAGUUUGUAUCUUCCCCCAUCCCCCAAAAAAAACCCAAAUCUGCUUGGUCAGGUGGUAGGAAUCAACAAGAGAAGCCAUAGCCUGAAUUUGAUCCUGGAUACACAAAAUGAAAUGUUUUCUCCUCUCAUACUGUCACAUUCCUUAUAACAGACAACUAGAGCCCUGCUUUUCUCCUUUAGCCAUUUUUUAUUAAUUGAAAAUUUGUGUUCCUCUCUCUCCAUCCUCUGGCACAUCCACUGGUAUCUAAAAAUGCUUCA